GACGAACGCUGGCGGCGUGCUUAACACAUGCCAGUCGAACGGAAAGGCCCUGCUUUUGUGGGGUGCUCGAGUGGCGAACGGGUGAGUAAAACGUGAGUAACCUGUCCUUGACUUUGGGAUAACUUUAGGAAACUGGGGCUCAUAUCGGAUAGGAGCUCCUGCUGCAUGGUGGGGGUUGGUAAGUUUCGGCGGUUGGGGAUGGACUCGCAGCUUAUCAGCUUGUUGGUGGGGUAGUGGCUUACCAAGGCUUUGACGGGUAGCCGGCCUGAGAGGGUGACCGGCCACAAUGGGACUGAGGUACGGCCCAGACUCCUACGGGAGGCAGCAGUGGGGAAUAUUGCACAAUGGGCGGAAGCCAGAUGCAGCAACGCCGCGUGCGGGAUAACGGCCUUCGGGUUGUAAACCACUUUCGCCUGUGACGAAGCGUGAGUGACGGUAAUGAGUAAAGAAGCACCGGCUAACUACGUG
rnacentral:rRNA from 1 species